rnacentral:tRNA from 1 species
AGGGGGUUAGUCCAAAAUAAGACCUCUGAUUUCGACUCAGAAGACUGUGGUUUAAGCCCACAACCCCCUU